ensembl:lncRNA
AAUUACUACGUGUUAUGCGUUGGAAUCUGUACAGCACACAAUUGUGACAUCUUGUGGUUGUAAGGAUGAACGGAAAAACUCCCUCAUUUAUCAGUUUAUCAUUUUGAAUUAAGAGUUUUGGAGAUUAGGACAAGAUUUUCUUCGCUUGCAUGUUUCUUUGCAAGUAAAUGUUUCGUUUCAGAUUUGACAAAUGUCCCUAUAACAAAACUAACAACAGAAAAAGCGCAGUUUGACUCAGACAUCAGAUUCAACGACUAAACCUACUGGCUGUCAAAGCAGCAGGACUUUGCAACAGAGUACUGUCACUCUGUCACACUCUGCAAGGCAGAGUCAAGGACAGCAGGUGGUGCCAAAGACCAAACAGACUGCCUCUGGGGAAAAUCCCUGUCUUAGCAGUCAUGUCAACUGAUAUCCAUCACUGUUAAACACAUGUACUUUCUUAUUUCUUACAUAUGUAUUGAAAAUAUAUAUAGUUUUACUCAAUAUGAAUAUAUGUAUUUAACAUUACUUUAUAUUGGCACUGUGCUUGUGUCUCUCUGUAUGAAAUAAUUUGCAAGCAGAAAUAUCAUUGGUUGGAGUAUUUAUACACGUUGGCUCCACAUGUUGGUCAGUGUGUAAGAGCAAAAACAAAUGCCAAAAUGAGACCUGGUACCCUUAUUGUAGGUUAAACUAAUGUGCUUCUGUCUACGUGGGGUUGCUUGUAAGGAACCUAUUUCUCCCAGUGUUCUCAAGUAGGUGCCCUACAGCUACUAAGCAUCCUGAACUAAGAUUUCAUACCUCUAGCAAAUUAGUGAAGACUUCUGUGAAAUGGCCAUUUGAAGCCCCGCAACAGUAUAACUGCACUUGGCAGACAUGCACUUCAGUGAUGCCAUAAAAAUUCCCCAGAAUCCAAUUGGACUCCAAAUGUGAUUAUUGUGUCUGAUAUCGUGUUUUUCUAGUAGUCUACUAAUUUUUAACUAUUCCUUCUGUAACUUGCAGACUCACGGAAUGUAUCAGACCAAAGACCUUUCCUGCACAUUAUAGACUGCCUUCCGUAAUAUAGCAGAACUGUUAGGUGGGCAAAAUUAACAUUCGAUGGCCUUGUCGGAUCUAUUACGUGGACAGAAUUACUUUUGCCCACAAUAAAUUAGUUAAUUUUGUCCUCAAACUAAGAUGUCCAUUCAGCCUUUUUUCCACGACAGAAUGUGCUCUCCUCAAUGUUCCGUGGACACAAUGCUAACGCAUUUGUGCUUUUCGUGGACAAAUGGCAUUACGGUGUGGGUGACCAGACGUCCUCUUUUACCCGUACAUGUGUCAUAUGUGGGUGUUGAGUGACUGUAAGUGUGUUAUGAUGUUGCUUUGUUUUGUUGGGCACCGCCCCCUUGACUGGUGCGCCUCACGAACAUCUGAUGGCAUGGUACAGGUGCUGAUAAUUAUGUCUCUGCUUGAGAUCCUUUUAAAAAUGAGCACUGUCUGUGCAUGCUGGACAUCACGCAAGGAUGGCUAUAGUGUGAUAUAGAGCAUUUGUUAGUUUUUUGGCGUUUGCGGGUUACCCGGACGUCUGUUGUUCGAGAUCCGAAGUUGGCUGUUUCCCUACUGCGUUGGAGUGGAGGCUGUGUGGGAUCCGCCGCUUCUGCGUUCGUGGGUUGCCAGGAAAAAUCUGAUCUGAGUUGUCCGUUGACUGAGAGAAGCGUCAUUGAACACUGACUGGGAACUAGAUUCGUCUGCUCCCGGUUCAAUAGUGUGUGCCUUUGUCUGCUAAUAAACUGAGUGAGUUACGUUUUAGCACUAUACAACGUAGAGCCGUUAUUGGCUAUUGUCUUUGGGUUGAUUUACUUUUGGUUGACAUUAUUACUUUUUAGUGUGUCGGUUAUUUACUUUCUGUUUGCUGUGAGUGUGCAUUGCCACUUGUGGAGAUUCUGGCGAUUCUCUCUCUCUCUGUGUGCGUGCUUUGCAGACCAAAAAAAGCAGCUACGGUGCGGUGGUGGAUGCUGACGGACUUUGCUUGCGGACUUUUGGAUACUGCGGACUCUUGGACAUUGUGGACUGUGCUUCCUUCGGCAGCCUGAUUCACAUGGACUUAGAUAACUUUGGGUGUAUUUUAUAUUUUAGAGCAAGCUUGUAAUAAAUACUAUAUUUUUGUAUCAGAAACUGAAGUCUUGAUGAAUCUGGUGUUGCUCCCACUAAACAAAUAACCUAAACAGUGAAAAGUAAACUAGUCCCAUCUCUGUAAACUGGGUGGCGUAGUCGGUCUACACUGCCGCACUCCCGUUACACAUGCCCUCUUUUCGAGACCUAAAAAAUGCAUCCGGCAGAGAUUCCAAACUCGUCCGGGAUUUUGCCUCGUCGGAUAUUUGUGUUUCUCUGGGUCUUUCACAAACUAGUUAUUACGCCCUUACAAGUUUUGGAAAGGGUAUCUCCCUCACGUUCCACCUUCUUGCGCGAGCUCUGACUAGACUAGAGAACUGUCAUUGGUCGACUGCUUUCUCAGUGUUGCCUGAUGUACGAUACUUAUCCUCCAAAUACGAUAAUCUUGAGCCUUUGGUUUGAUACUUUGCCAUUCCCAAUCUGGCAACACUGAGCACCUUGCCGCCUCGCUAGUUGCAUUGUUUAGAACAGCACAUGACAUGGAUGUGAACAAUGUCACAACUUCCAGGGGGCGGGGUCAUCUGCAUGUGAAAAAUGUUAAAACUGCUACACACUACUCUGCCCCCUCCCCCGCUACGAAGUGUCCUCUUUUUCACAAACUCAAAUCUGUCCACCCUAGAUAAAUGCAUUUGUUUAUUGUUGAUAAAGGCAUUUGGUACAUCACAUAAUGCGUUCUGUCUAUUAAAUAAAGUCUGUUACACAUGGCGUCUCACUCUAAAUUUCGUUGUAUGCAAAUACAAUGACAAUAAAGGCUUUUCUAUUUCUAUGUGCACCUCGCUAGCACACCUGCCUCCAAUGUCCAAGGUUGCGAGUGUGAGUCCGGUGCAGGACUGAGCUGUCACGCAACACAGGUUCCGCAACCUCUCUAGUUGAGGCUCAGCGCUGCUCCUCCAACCAAUACAUGUUUGCCAACACAGUUUGAACCAUUAGGGAUUAUACAUGUUCAGCCUGAUGAUUUACUGUUUAUAAAAUUUGAAAUAGUAUUACCUCAGGAAUUUAUGUCACUCGAUUUCUCCCAUUGCUAAGAAGGCCGUUUCCUGGUGAGAAGGCGCAGGAGCAAUGGCUAAUAAUACAGUGUAAUCUUGUCAAAGGUGCUUAUGUUCCAGAGACCUGUGACUGUAUAUGGAUUAUAUUGUUGAAACCAUAUUUACCAGGUUGUUAUCAGUGUCAUGGUAUGUUGCUUUUUUCUCUAUCCAUAUUGAUAGAAUUAAUUUCAAAACAUGACUUAAGUGCCUUGUAUUAACAAUUACCUUGUAUGAAUCAUGUGCUUAUUUCUGUAUUUCUGUGUGUGUGUGUAACCUAGAUUAUUAGGUGCUGACACCACUUAGUCUGCAUAUGUUUGGGUGAGCUCAGAGGUGAUAAGAAGGGUCGAAUUGUGCUUGUUCGACCGUGUGUAAAACUGACAUUCUUGCAUUAGAGAAAGCGGAGUUGGGAUGACACAAAAGGACUUUUAGUCGAGCGUGGCUAUUCUUGCUGACAUUUGAAACAUUUAUGACGUCAGUUAGAUAAAUCUUAAAUAUAUAAAUCCUGUGCGAUGUUUGUGAAAUGGCUUCACUUUCAUCUUUGUGCUGUGAGUGAGCCCGACAGUUGUUGCUGAAUAAAUAUACUGAUCUACAACUCUGGAGUCCUGAGAUAACUUGAGUGAAUUUUGACCUAACAUAAAUGCAAGGGAAUUAUGCUUUUGUACUGGACUUGACGAUACAGAUAGAUUAUGCUAAAAUGUGACUCUGUUCAGGUGUGUAUGAUGAAGAACAUGGCCCAACGUUACGGAUUGUAUUGAAUUUUAAACAGCCAGAGGAAGGAGUGGUCUUAAUUUUAGUCUCGCUAGGGGCACUAGUGAAGGUAUUCUUGACAAAUGUUUGUGUUUCGUACCUGGGAUAUUUCUAUUAAUUUCCUUAGGGCAUUGUGGUUUGCCAUAUUUACAUUAGAUUACUAACACCUAUUGAGAGGCAUGCCAGGCAUACUGUGGUGGCUUUUUGUAUUAUGUUUCAUCUGCUUGUACAAAGGUUGAUUGGCAGGUCCACAAUGGGUGCUUUGGCGCGCAAGUCACUGAGAAGCUCCAUCUUUCUGUUGGAAGAUUCUCAAGAGGAAGAGUAUGCAAACCUCAGCCACAUUCAUGUGGGUCACACUGUUUGUUUGAGCUUUGAGAUGAACAAUAGAGGCAAAGAAUGCAGGCAAAACAUGACACGCUGUCCUAAAUUACAGCAGGUAUAAUAAGUAUUGAACACGUCACCAUUUUUCUCAGUAAAUAUAUUUCAUGACAUUGACAUGACAUUUUCACCAGAUGUAUGUUACAACCCAGGUAAUCCAUACAUACAAAUAAACCAAAACAAAUACGUUCAGAAAUUAAGUUAUGUGAAAUGACACAGGGAAAAAGUAUUGAACACGCUUACUGAUAUUUAUUUAAUACUUUGUACAAAAGCGUUUGUUGGUAAUGACAGCUUCAAGACGCCUCCUGUAUGGAGAAACUAGUGGUAUGCUUUGCUCAGGUGUGAUUUUGACCCAUUCUUCCACACAAACAGUUUUCAAAUCUUGAAGGUUCCGUGGGCCUCUUCUAUGAACUCUGAUCUUCAGUUCUUUCCAUAGAUUUUCAAUUGUAUCCAAAAGUCAGGUGAUUGGCUGGGCCAUUCUAGCACCUUUAUUUUCUUUCUCUGAAACCAAUUGAGAGUUCCCUUGGCUGUUCAUUGUCUUGCUGAAAUGUCCACCCUGGUUUCAUCUUCAUCAUCCUGGUAGAUGGCAGCAGAUUUUUAUGAAGGAUGUCUCGGUAAAUUUUAGCAUUCAUCCUUCCUUCAAUUAUGUGAAGUUUGCCAGUACCGUAUGCUGAAAAGCAGCCCCACACCAUGAUGUUCCCACCUCCAAACUUCACUGUUGGGGUGAUGUGCAGUGCCAUUUGUCCUCCAAACAUGGUGUGCAUUAUGGCAUCCAAAGAGUUCAAUUUUGCUCUCAUCUGACCAGACUAUAUUCUCCCAGUAUUUCACAGACUUGUCCAAAUGUUGUGCUGCAAACUUUAAACAAGCUUCAACAUGCUUUUUCUUCAGCAAUGGAGUCUUAUGUGGUGAGCAUGCAUACAGGCCAUGGCGGUUGAGUGCAUUACUUAUUGUUCUCUUUGUAACAACUGUACCUGCAAAUUCUAGGUCUUUCUGAAGCUCUCCACAAGUGGUCCUUGGCUUUUGGAAAACUAUUCUGAUAAUUCUUUUCACUCCUCUGUCAGAAAUCUUGCGAGGAGCACCUGGUCGUGGCCAGUUUAUGGUGAAAUGUUCUUUCCACUUCUGGAUUAUGGCCCCAGGAGUGCUCACUGGAACAUUCAGAAGUUUACAAAUGCGUCUGUAACCAAUGCCAUCAGUAUGUUUUGCUCAGCGGUGAUAAGGAGGGUCGAAUUGUGCUUGUUCGACCCUUUGUAAAACUGACAUCCUUAGAUUACAGAAAGUGGAGUUGGGAUGACAUAAAAGGACUUUUAGUCAAGUGUGGCUAUUCUUGCUGACAUUUGAAACAUAUAUGACGUCAGAGUUAGAUAAAUCUUAAAUAUAUAAAUCCUGUGCGAUGUUUGUGAAAUGGCUUCACUUUCAUCUUUGUGCUGUGAGUGAGCCCGAGAAUUGUUGCUGAAUAAAUAUACUGAUCUACAACUCUGGAGUCCUGAUAUAACUUGAGUGAAUUUUGACCUACCAUAAAUGCUAGGGAAUUAUGCUUUUGGACUGGACUUUGUGAUACAGAUAGAUUAUGCUAAAAUUUGACUCUUUUCAGGUGUGUAUGAUGAAGAACAUGGCCCAACAUUUAGGAUUUAAUUGAUUUUUAAACAGCCAGAGGAAGGAGUGGUCUUAAUUUUAGUCUCGCUAGGGGCACUAGUGAAGGUAUUCUUGACAAAUGUUUGCCGAUCUAUACAUAUGCCAUCGGUUCGAGGGCCAAGAGCCAAACCACCUUAAAGUUCAAGUAAAGUUCUUACAGGACUGCAGCCCUCAACACUUAACAGUUUAACCCAGCAGUAUCAACUAUAAGUAUAAACCCUCUCCAACCACCGACCCCCCCCCCAGAUUUCCCGAUACUUAGUCUUGAACAUACUCUCUUGCUGUGCUAUCAAUCUGCUAAAUUGUGUUUCGUACCUGGGAUAUUUCUAUUCAUUUCCUCAGGGCUAUGUGGUUUGCCAUGUUAGCAUUAGAUUACGAACACCUACUGAGAUGCAUGCCAGGCAUACUGUGUAUUAUGUUUCAUCUGCUUGUACGAAGGUUAAUUGUCAGGUCCACAAAGGGUGCUUUGGCGCACAAGUCACUGUGGGAAGAUUCUCAAGAGCAAGAGUAUGCAAAUCUCAGGCACAUUCAUGUGGGUCACACUGUUUGUUUGAACUUUGAGAUGAACAAUAGAGGCAAAGAAUGCAGGCAAAACAUGACACACUGUCUUAUCAAUCCAUCGAUCAAUCAAACUUUAUUUGUACGGCGCAUUUCAUACCAGGAGGUUACACAAUGCGCCUCACAGAAAGAAAAAUGGGGGGGGGGUUACGAACGCUUGUAGAGAGACAGAUUUCCCUGAGACAAGUAAACAGAUAAAUGUUACAGUGAGUGAUAAGCAAGAUCAAAGAGGUAUGUCUUAAGUGCAUGUUUAAAGGUCCUAUGUAUAAUGAGAGAUUCAAUAAAAGGUUAAUGUGAAUAUACACACAUUGGACACUGACAAAUGGGUUGGAAGCAACAACCUGUCCCUAAUGUUGACCUUGACAAGAAAGAUGUGAUUUUCCUUCAGUUGGGUUCACCAAAAAGGGUUCAACAUCCUUAAUACACAUAUAAACACCAUAAGAUACAUACAAACAUCAUUAUACACAUACAAACACCAUUAUACACAUACAAACACCAUUUAACACAUAUAAACACCAUUAGACACAUAUACACUCCUUUAUACACAUAUAAACACCAUUUUGCACAUAUUUGAAGCUGCGUUUUGUAAUGUAUACACUUAAGUUGGAUAAUGAAAGAAAAGCCAUACAAGGACAAACCUGGGAAAUGAAAAACUAAUAUUUUCAGUUCUGUAUCUCAUUGCCACACACACCCAUGCACAUUUUUGCCACAAGAAAGCACAGAGGUGCAGCAAUGACGAAGGUGUUGAAAGCCAUGAUCUGCUGUGCACAGUGACAUGACAAGGAUUUACCUGGAAAAACAGUGCACUUCUCUGUCACACCGUACGUCACACAAGGCUCUGAAACAAGCUAGGAGCGGAUGUUUAAUGACGAUAAAUAAAACAUCAUUAUGCACAUAUUUGAAGCUGCUUUUUGUAAUUUAUACACUUACGUUGGAUAAUGUAAGAAAAGCAGUCAGCCAAGACAAACCUGGGAAAUAAAAAAAAAAAUUCAGUUCUGCAUCUCAUUAUUUCAUGAAUUAUGUAACAAUAUUGGCGCCAACCAGCCACACACACACACACCCACGUUGAAAGCCAUGAUCUGCUGUGCACAGUGACAUGACAAGGAAUUACCCCUUGAAAAACAGUGCACUUCUCCGUCACCCAUCACACAUGAGAACAUAGUGUAACUUAUUUUUUGUAAUCAGAAAACAGAGAGGAUCAAACUAGGAUCUACUACUAAACACUACUUUUAACAACUAACUCGAACCCUAAUUAAAAAAAAAAAAUGCAUAAAUGAAUUGGCUACAACUAUAGACAUUGUUGUAGCCAGUCAAAUGUGACUGGGUCUUUGUAAUAUGGGGUAAGACUUCCAGUUACAAAUGCACCAUGUUUAGCGUUACGGAUUCCCCCUUUUUACCCCCAUUUACUUUCCUUUUAUCUGUCUCCUCCCUUAACGUAACGUCUAUGUCUCUUGCUUCAGAUGACCUAAUGGCUGUAUGUUCAGAUGUAUGGAUGCUCCUGUGACUCUGGCAGAGCUAAACUGAGCGAGCUAGGUGCUAACAAAACCAAGAUCAUGGGUUUAAUACCCAGGGAACACGUAUACUGAUGAAAAUGUAUACCUGUACUGUACAGUGAGUGUAGUGCGCACUGUGGAUGAAAGCAUCUGCUAAAUGGUUAUAUGGACAUGCACACCACUGUGAAGUAAACCCCACUUCAUCUGGAUAUGGGGACCCAGUGACAGGUGUGUGUGUGUGCAUUUGCUGGUUUGUUCACCACAUCUCUCUGAUAAGAGACGGAGCUAAAAGGGCUGGAAGGGAAUCAGAGCAAAGCCUUAGAACUGUUCUCUCCAUUUUCCAUCAGGCCACCCAUUCCUCUCUAUUCGAGUAGGCCAUUCUUCCCUAUUCGAGUAGGCCAUUCUUCCCUAUUCGGGUAGGCUAUUCUUCCCUAUUCCUAGCGCAGUUUAAAAAGGUGAGUUAUUCAGGAUUAAUUGCUUACAAUGUUUCAUUAUGCCUAUACACCCACAGGCAUAUAUUAAAGGAACACUAGGCAACAAUUUGACACUUUUUGAGGUAUGGUUUUAUAGGCAACUAGUUUUGGUAUAAUACAGUAUGUUUGCAAUGAGUUUGUAUUACAAUGAUGCGUGCAAUGUUGCAUGUUGUGUUUGAGACGGUUAAAGCAAGUGAGUAAAUUCAAAUGUUAACAUGGUACAUUUUAAUUGCCUCUUAAAAUUGGAAACUGGAAUGAUGCACAAACUCUGCUUUGGUCUGGCUGGUUAUUUUCUGUCUUCACUAAUUCAUGCUAACUGAUGCCUUUUUUCAUUCAGAUGGCAGACUUUCGUAAACUGGAAAACAUCCUCUCCCACCUACUCUUUCUAGGUCAGAGGCUUUCCUAUGUGGUUACGGAUAUUUUCCCUUUUACACAGACCUACGUUUUGUGCUACACGCCUUUUAACACUGUCUUUGAGUAUCUCUCAGCAUUCAUUCAACAAAGGUCAAAUGUUACACAAUGAGCCAGAGAGCACCCCACUCUCCCAGACAGACAGUGGGCAGGGUUCCCCUGCUGGUAAUCCGUCAGACCCUCGGACACUUCCAGAAGGGGGAACUCCUCCAGUAACGAAAUCUCUUCACAUGGACCUGAAGACUGCCUAAAAAGAGGAACCUGCCCGAGCAACCUUAGCCCCCUCCUGUGCACGUCCCUGCGAUUGUCUGCGUCUGAGACUAUAAACCCUCUUUCUGCACUUGCAGAGCAGACCACUGUUGGCAUGUAUCACCUGACAGAUUCACUCAGGAGAGAGGACAGCAGUGUCACAUAUAAUCAGGAUUCACAAAAAGGAUAUCACACUUUAGAGAUAAACUGAUAGGCAUGUCCAUUCAUCUGCUGUCCACAGGUCUUCUUGCUCUGCUAUUGUGCCUUUCCACCAAGGGUUUCCCAAGACAAGUCAAUGGCAUUGAGUUCUACAGCGACCUAGAGAGGUCGCACCUCCUGCUGAAGGAAAGCAACUCUCAGACCAGUUUUGACUCCAAGGCCAAUGCUCAAGCUGAUAAUGGCCUGUUUGAAGAGGAUCCCGAAUUCAUGUCGGUUAUUCCAAAGGGCAAUUCUGGCACCAAACAUGGAUUGCCUGCACCUCCCAAGGAGGUAUCUGUCAAGAACAAGACUGAAGCUUUAAGAGGGCCUGCACUGAAACGAGCCAGACGGGAUAUUAUUGCAACCACCACAAAAGCUCCCACCACUACCACAACAGCACCCACAACAGCUACAGAAGCUACCACAACAGCUGCUGCAACCACAACAACAGAGCCAGCAACCACAACAACAGUGGCUGAAAAUACCACAACAGCUACAAAUACCAGCUCCCAGCAACAAAUACCAGCUCCCACCACUAACACAACAGCACACAUAACAGCUCCAGAAACUACCAAAACAGCUGCUACAACCACCACAGCAGCUCCAGCAACUACCACAACAGCUGCUGCAACCACCACAACAGCACCCACAACAGCUCCAGAAACUACCACAACAGCUGCUACAACAACCACAGCAGCUCCAGCAACUACCACAACAGCUGCUGCAACCACCACAACAGCACCCAUAACAGCUGCAGCAAUUAUCACAACAGCUCCCACCACUACCACAUUAGCGCCAACAACAGCUCCAGAAACUACCACAACAGCUGCUGCAACCACCACAAAAGCUCCAGCAACUACCACAACAGCUAAUGCAACCACCACAACAACUGCUGGAACCACAAUAACAGCUCCAGCAACCCCCAAAGCAGGUGCCACCACUACCACAACAGCACCCACAACAGCUCCAGAAACAACAGAUGCUGAAACCAUCAAAACAGCUCCAGCAACAACAACAACAGCUCCAGCAACCACCACAACAGCGGCUUCAACUACCACAAUAGCUAUUGCAAGUACCACAACAGCUGCAGCAACUACCACAACAACUCCCACCAAUACCACAACAGCACCCACAACAUCUCCAGAAACUACCAAAACAGCUGCUGCAACCACCACUACAGCUGCUGCAACUACAACAACGGAACCCACAACAGAACGCACAACAUCUGCCACCACUACCACAAAGGCCCCCACAAGAGCUGCUGCAACUUCCACAACAGGUUCCCAAACCACCACAACAGAUGCUGCUGCAACCACCACAACAGCACCCAUAACAGCUGCAGCAAUUACCUCAACAGCUACCACCACUACCACAACAGCACCCACAACAGCUCCAGAAACUACCACAACAGCUGCUGCAACCACCACAACAGCUCCAGCAACUACCAAAACAGUUGCUGCAACCACCACAACAGCUCCAGCAUCUACCACAACAGCUCCCACAACAGCUCCCACCAUUACCACAACAGCUACCACAACAUCUGCUGCAACCACCACAACAGCGGCUGCAACUACCACAACAGCUGCUGCAACCACCACAAUAGCUAUUGCAAGUACCACAACCGCUGCAGCAACUACCACAACUGCUCCUGCGAAUACAACAAUGGAAACCACAACAGAAUCCACAACAUCUGCCACCACUACCACAAAGGCCCCCACUACAGCUGGUGAAAGUUCCACAUCAGCACCCACAACAGGUUCCCAAACCACCACAACAGAUGCUGCUGCAACCACCACAACAGUUCCUGCAACUACAACAAUGGAAACCACAACAUCUGCCGCCACUACCACAAAGGCCCCAACAACAGCUGCUGCAACUUCCACAACAGCACCCACAACAGGUUCCCAAACAACCACAACAGAUGCUGCUGCAACCACCACAACAGCACCCAUAACAGCUGCAGCAAUUACCACAACAGCUCCCCCCACUACCACAACAGCUGCUACAACUACCACAACAGCUGCAGAACCUUCCACAACAGCACCCACAACAGCUCCAGAAACUACCACAACAGCUGCUGCAACUACCACAACAGCUGUUCCAACUACCACAACAGCUGCUGAAACCACAACAACAGCUCCAGCAACCACCACAACAGCUGCUGCAACUACCACAAUAGCUAUUGCAAGUACCACAAUAGCUAUUGCAAGUACCACAACAGCUGCAGCAACUACCACAACAGCUCCUGCAACUAAAACAACAGAAGCCACAACAGAACCCACAACAUCUGCCACCACUACCACAAAGGCCCCCAAUACAGCUGCUGCAACUUCCACAACAGCUCCCACAACAGGUUCCCAAACCACCACAACAGAUGCUGCUGCGACCACCACAACAGCACCCAUAACAGCUGCAGCAAUUACCACAACAGCUCCCACCACUACCACAACAGCACCUACAACAGCUCCAGAAACUACCACAACAGCUGCUGCAACCACCACAACAGCUGCUGCAACCCCCACAACAGCGGCUGAAACCACCACAACAGCUCCAGCAACCACCAAAACAGCUGCUGCAACUACCACAACAGCUCCAGCAACCACCACAAUAGCUAUUACAAGUACCACAACAGCUGCAGCAACUACCACAACAGCUCCCGCCUCUACCACAACAGCACCCACAACAGCUCCAGAAACAACCACAACAGCUGCUGCAACUACCACAACAGCUGCUCCAACUACCACAACAGCUGCCGAACCCAAAACAACAGCUCCAGCAACCACCACAACAACGGCUGCAACUACCACAACAGCUGCUGCAACCACCACAAUAGCUAUUGCAAGUACCACAACAGCUCCGGCAACUACAACAACAGAAGCCACAACAGAACCCACAACAUCUGCCACCACUACCACAAAGACCCCCACAACAGCUGCAGCAACUACCACAACAGCUCCCCUCACUACCACAUCAGCUCCUACAAUUACCACUACCACAAAGACCCCCACAACAGCUGCUGCAACUUCAACAACAGCUCCCACAAAAGGUUCUCAAACCACCAAAACAGAUGCUACUGCAACCACCACAACAGCACCCACAACAGCUGCAAAAACUACCAGAACAGUUACAGCAACAACCACCACAGCUCCUGCAACCACCACAUCAGCGGUUUCAACUACCACAACAGCUGCUGCAACCAAUACAAUAGCUAUUGCAACUACCAAAACAGCUGCAGCAAUUACCACAACAGCUCCCACCACUACCACAACAGCUCCUGCAACUACAACAACGGAAGCCACAACAGAACCCACAACAUCUGCAACCACUACCACAACAGCACCAACAACAGCUCCCACCACUACCACAACAGCACCCACAACAGCUGCUACAACCUCCACAACAGCUGCUGCAACCACCACAACAGAGGCUGCAACUACGACAACAGCUGCUGCAACUACCACAAUAGCUAUUUCAAGUACCACAACAGCUCCUGCAACUACAACAACAGAAGCCACAACAGAACCCACAACAUCUGCCGCCACUACCACAAAGGCCCCAACAACAGCUGCUGCAACUUCCACAACAGCACCCACAACAGCUCCCAACACUACCACAACAGCACCCACAACAGCUCAAGAAACUACCACAACAUCUGCUGAAACCACCACAACAGCGGCUGCAACUACCACAACAGCUGCUGAAACCACUACAAUUGCUAUUGCAAGUACCACAACAGUUGCGGCAACUACCACAACAGCUCCUGCAACUACAAAAACGGAACCCACAACAGAACGCACAACAUCUGCCACCACUACCACAAGAGCUGCUGCAACUUCCACAACAGGUUCCCAAACCACCACAACAGAUGCUGUUGCAACCACCACAACAGCACCCAUAACAACUGCAGCAAUUACCUCAACAGCUACCACCACUACCUCAACAGCACCCACAACAGCUCCAAAGACUACCACAACAGCUGCUGCAACCACCACAACAGCUCCAGCAUCUACCACAACAGCUCCCACAACAGCUCCCACCACUACCAAAACAGCACCCACAACAGCUCCCACCACUACCACAACAGCACCCACAACAGCUCCAGAAACUACCACAACCGCUGCUGCAACCACCACAACAGCUGCUGAAACCACUACAACAGCUCCAGCAACCACCACAACAGCUGCUGCAACUACCACAACAGCUCCAGCAACUACCACAACAGCGGCUGCAACUACCACAACACCUGCUGCAGCAACCACAAUAGCUAUUGCAACUGCCCCAACAGCUGCAGCAACUACCACAACAGCUGCCCUCACUACCACAUCAGCUCCUACAAUUACAACAACGGAAGCCACAACACAACCCACAACAUCUGCCACCAUUACCACAAAGGCCCCCACAAUAGAUGCUGCAACUUCAACAACAGCUCCCACAAAAGGUUCUCAAACCACCAAAACAGAUGCUACUGCAACCACCACAACAGCACCCACAACAGCUGCAAAAACUACCAGAAACAGUUACAGCAACAACCACCACAGCUCCUGCAACCAACCACAUCAGCGGUUUCAACUACCACAACAGCUGCUGCAACCAAUACAAUAGCUAUUGCAACUACCAAAACAGCUGCAGCAAUUACCACAACAGCUCCCACCACUACCACAACAGCCC